GAUAAACGCUGGCGGCGUGCCUAAAACAUGCAAGUCGAACGGGCACCUUCGGGUGUCAGUGGCGAACGGCUGAGUAACACGUGGGUGACCUGCCCUCGAGCGGGGGAUAACUGCCCGAAAGGGUGGCUAAUACCGCAGAUGUCGAUCCUUCGGUGGGUCGACUGAACCGUUUAGGGUUCGAGGAGGGGCCCGCGGCCGAUUAGCUUGCUGGUGGGGUAAAGGCCUACCAGGGCUGCGAUCGGUAGCUGGUCUGAGAGGAUGAUCAGCCAG
rnacentral:rRNA from 1 species